UUCGAUAGGGAUGGAGUCGGCACAGGUAGUUGUUGACAUCCCAAUAAAGGAUCACAGACAGAGAGGGAAACCCAGGGGACAUUGGCAGGUCGCUGUCAGUUAAUAACUGCUCAAGAAAGCUCUCGGAACAGGCAGCUUUGCUCCACUAGUGGAGGCAGGAGAAUCGCCUCAGGUCCUUGAGACGGGGAUGGGGUGAGACCUGCUUUCAGAUUCAGACCAAGGGCAGGAAUUACUGACUACUAAGGAGGAGCUACUGCUCAAAGAACGAGGAAGAGGCGGUCUUUUCCAACCCCAACUCCCCUUGGAGGAUAAAACUGCAGCCCGCUGGAUGCUGGGGGCCAAGCCUCCUUGCCUGUCCGCUUGUACCUCUCACAAGCGUCCUAUCCUAACAAAUCUCUUUCUUGCCUAUUACUUUGCCUCACUGAAUUCCUUCUGUGAUGAGACACAAAGAACCUGAGCCUCAGGAAGUGCAGACACCAGAGGAUGGAACUGGUUCCAAAGCAAGGACCUCCCUGGAAUGAGAGAUCAACUAGGUGUGAAAAAGCAUCCCAAAGCCUCUGGACUCACUGCCAAUGCAAUUAGCUGCUACAAAAUUUGGGUAGGGAGUGUCGUGUUUCUGGAAGUGUCCAGAGGGAGCUUGGAUGAGCAAUUCUUGGAAAGAUUUUUAAAGCUUGCCCCAAGAACUUGCUGGACUCUCAUGCCAUACGAGAGACCCUCAAAGGACACUGGAUAUUUACCUUGAAGAAAAGAAAACUCUGCUGGGAGAGAGGGGUGGUUAAGAAACACUAACCCAUUUGAUAAUUUUGUGAGUACAGGGGAGCUGAGCUAUUGCUGUGUAUUCCUAUGGAGAAAUAAAUAGUAAUAGAAAUUACCGAAGCACAUUCUAAUGGAAAGGGCUAGCCAGAUAGAGAAUAUGCCUCUGAAGAGGUAAUGAGGUUGAAGUGACUAUUGUAACUUUCUGGAAAUGAACUAGAUGUUGUGUAGUAAAUAGGGGGAAGUAGGUCAAUUCGAUCCAUUAGAUUUUAUAAAAUUAUAUGAUGCAGAAGCAAAGAGAGAGCUAUUGAAUUUUAGCUGCUAUUAUGGAAGGCUAGGACUGGACUACAAUGAUUGACCCACAAUCACAGUAAUUGUUCAGGUGGACUUUGUAAAUGAGCUGAAAUCAUUCUUUUGAAAAUAACUCUUCAAAGUGAGAAGAUUUCUCCAAUCCACAUUUUCUAGUCUGCUUGGCUGUCCCCUCUGGGCUCAGUCAAAGAAACCCAUGCAGUGGAAGUAUGUUUAGCAAUUGGGCCUGUUCCCAGGUUGCGAGACAUUUAGCAAAAAUCCAGAGUUAUUAUUAGAUCUAAAUGGAGGCUUUUGUCAAAAGGCCUCUUGAACUGUUAGGAAAUCAGAGUGCAAAUUGAUAAUGACACACAACACAUCCCUGCCCUGGCAGCUCCCCGAAGGCUGCUGAGAUACCCCAGAAAGAACUUGCAUGGCCUCAUGCCAACAGCGUGUUGCUCAACCCUCGUCCUUCUCCUAAGUCGGCUUGACAACUGCAUUCUUCUCUUCCUUGUAAGAGGCAGAAGGAGAUGGAUUAAAGAGGAUGUUUGAACUGAGACUAUUAAUUUCCUUGCAGUGUGUAUUCAAGUCAGAUCCCUUUAGAAGAGCCUUUUGUGGUUUCAUAAAAUUACAACUUUGGCUAUUCGGCUGCCUUUUCCAAAGUACAAAUUUGGCUUCUAAAGAAAACACACUUCAUAGGAAAAAAGGAAAGAAAUGAGUACGUAGUUAUCUUUAAAUAUAUUCAUUUUAUAUAAUCGUUCUGUUACGCAAAGAAACAAUUACAGUAUUAACUACUUAUUAAUAAAAGAAAUCAUAAAACAUAGUGUCUUCAUAAACCCUUUCAGGUUUUCAUGAGUUUUAUUUGAAAGAAGUUAAUAAAACAGAUUUUUUUUUUUUCCCUUAGAGUUUAUGAAUGGAAAAAUACUUUUUUAAACUAUCGGGCUUAAAAAUGAAUGUUCCUCCUCUUUCUAAGACUGUGGCAAUACUUUUUACCUUUUCAAGGGACAGGUGAGCAGUCAUUUCAUGGGUGAAGGGUGUGUGUGCGAUGUCUUGCAGAGACAUUGCAGCAUGGAUUCCUUCCCCUCCUCUUUCUAGCCCCGGCCUCUCUGGCUUCCUCUAACUGUGCCUUACACUGGAGUGCACAGGGAUGCGGCUCACUUAGCAUCUACGUUAUUUCGAUUCUUCUUGCCAGCCCCUGUUUCUCUGGGCCAAGCUCUAGCCCAGCACCUCACACGUGGCAGGAAGUCUGUUUUAUUGAAUGAAUCCCUAAAUGUGAUGCCUGGAAGAGGAGAGAUUCUUUUCUCUGCUCUGCGGGUUAGACAAACUUUGGUUGGUUGGAACUCAUAGAAAACAAAACCCAAUUUAGCUACCACUCCCUGGAGAAAGGCAGCUUGAGAUUUAGGAGUCACCUCCAGGGCUUGGGGAUGAAGUUCAGACACUAAAGCGUCGGGGAGGGGACAGAACACACUGUGAUUUUUCUUUUCAAGGGCCCCACGUAGCAUCUGCAACCCCACCUCUGGUCCUGAUGCUGUGUGACUUUGACCAAGCGCUGGUCCCCACUAGGUUUUCUCUUCUCGGGGGACCUCAGUGGUUCUCAAUCAGGGCUAUGCUUGAGAACCACCACUGGAGAUUUUUAAAACACCUAUGCCUGGGGCCCACCUCGGACCAAUACAUUCAGAAACCUAAUGGCUGUGGACCUGCUGUGUAUUUUUUAAAAAUUUGCAGGUGAUUCCAAAGUGAAGCUGGGUUUAAACUUUGGUGUCUCUCCUUUAAUAUGAUGAGGAUGACCUGGGAUCUCGUAAAAAUGCAGAUUCUGAUUCAGCAGCUUUUGGGUGGAGCCUGCAUGUCUGCAUCUGAAGCCAGGGCUCAGGUGAUGCUGGCUGUCUCUGGUGCACCUGGACAAGGACCCAGAGCCUGGAGCUUGUAAAACCUGGGGACUUUAAGGCCUCACCUCAGGCCCACUGAAUCGCAUCCUGCAUUUGAAAUAUUCCUCGGUGAUUUUUAAUAUUUCAAAGUUGUAUUUGAGAAACAACUAAAUAAUCCAUGAGAAACCUCCCCUGCCUCCACUUUAGACAGCCUCUGCUUACUUUCACCUGUUUUUCCUUCCUGUGCCCCUGUGCUCACCAUAACCCAGCAGCUGAGGCUCUUUGUACUUGCCCAGAUGUGUCCUGCGUGGCCUGACACUGCCUUUCCAACAUGACAUGGCCAUGCCCUUUAUAUGGACUAGAUCCUUCCCCUUUACCCACUCCUUUCCUACCCAACCUUCAAGAUUUGGGGAUGAAGUCCUCCAGGGAAGCUGAUGUAACUAUUUCCACCCACCACCCGACUCUAACUUGGCUCCCCUGUGCUUUCUUACACUGAAAGAAAAUUACCCAUAUAUGUGCUUCGCUCCCCACCGAGGAUGUACAAUUAAUUCUGAAUUGUCAAAAACUGAGUUUUGAGGGUUUUUUUCUGAUUGAUCAAGGUGCUGGCACAGAGUAUGCACUUGUACUUUUCCGUGUGGGUUCUGAUUAGGAUGGAGAUCUUAACAGAUCUUCCACAUCAAGCUCUUCUUCCUGCCCAGAGUCUUGGCAACACACCAUGUGGCUAGAGAAACGCCAAGUGGAUUUCCCAGCUCAGCCUGGCACUAAAUCUCACUUUUUUUGUCUUGAGGACAUGUUGGGACCCCUGUAAACUCUCCAAGGCUUGAGACCCCUGUGCCCCAGAGGAAAGUGGCUUUGGUGGGCUUUCCUCUGGGACGGGAAUAGAUAGAUGAGUGAGAAAGGCAUCCACUUGCUUGAUUUCUGUGCUCCUUGUAUUUCUGACAUUUAUCAAAGCUGACAUCGCUUGCCAAAGGCCAAGGGAGGAAGGAUGAAACAGAUCAUUUUCAUUUGCCUGGUGUUCUCUUAGCUGUUUCCCAGGCUGACUGAGAACAAUUUGCAUCCUGUCCAGGCCCCAUAAUUUCUGGUUGUUAAAGAAAGACACAUGGGUAUUGCCAAAGCAUCCUGAGACCUUGACUCAGUGUAGUGCGACUUGAAGGAUAUGGGAAAUGUGGGAGGGCCACUUACUUUGAUUUUCUUCGUGUGGCCCACACUGCACGUUUCCUGGAAGAGGACACUGAGCCUGCAUUUGCUCUCAAUCUAAUGUUGGAUUCAAAUUAUGAAUAUCUAUCAAAUUCAGUGAAUAUCUAUCAAAUUCAGUGAAUAUCUAUCAAUUCAGUGUCCUCUGUGUGGCAGACUCUUUGCUGAUGUUGGGGAGGGUGACUGUGAUGCAUCACAGAUUUUACCUUCAAGGCGAUGCUGGAUGUAGAUACAAAGGACCAUGCUGCUAAGCGUUUUCUUGAGGAAUACGGUGCCGUAAGAAUACAGAAGAAAAGGCAAUUAACUCUACCUCCUAUGCUGCCAAAAAAGAUAACAGGGGGGUAGUAUGUCAAGGGAAAUGUCUUCCAAGACAUUUUAUUCAAACUUAAAGUUUCUUUUCCUGUGUAACUAAUAACCCUGAAACUUAGUGGCUAAAAUAACAGCAAUUGUGGAUUAUAAGAGACAGUCUUGCUGUGUAUGGAUGGCUUUUACUGAUUUACGUAAGAGUAGGGACAGGUAACGAUUAUACUGACAAAAAUAAGAUUAAAAAUAACCCUAAAGUAUGAACUGAGGCAUCAUGCGUGUCCAUCAGCGAAAUGUACUUGUGCUUAAAGAGAGUUUGACUGCUGUUGUUCACUUGAAUUUCUCCUGGUCAGUGGGUCCACCUGGCGCACAGAUGGGAGUUGGAGAAAAGUUAGGGUGUGGUCAAAAACCAGGGAGUUGCAAGAUGCUGGCCUUGGCCUCAGUGGCCUGAAUUAAUCCACAACUCAAUGCAUAUUCAAGGCAAAUUUUGGAGAGCAUUUUGGAGGGAGAGUAGCAAGGUCCUGGCUGCAACAGAAUUGGCAAUGGACUGUGGAGAGUGGAACAAAGGAAUGAAACGGGUGAGGAUUUCAAAGCUAACUGGCAGCAGAUUUGAGUCUGGACUUGGUAACUAACCUUGACUAAAUCACGUUAUUAAUAUAAUUUUGCCAAGACAAAGGGCACACAUUAAAAAAAAAAAAAGAAAGAAAAACAUAAGUCAUAACCGCACACACCCUCAUGAAAUUUCAAACACCGGAAUAAAGAAGAGAUUCUGAAAACAUCCUAGGAAUAAAAAGUAACAGGGAUCAGAUUUCUCAUCAGGAAUACAAGACGCUGGGACACAAUGGAGUAAUGUGUUCACGGUUCUGAGGGAAAAUAUUUUCAAUGAAGAAUGCCACAGUCAGCUCUGGUGGACGCUUGUGGUUUCCUACUCGAUAACCGUCUUUUUCUUCCUAUCGUUAGGCGCGUCUGCACUUUUGUUAAGGUAUUUUUUUGAGCAGGAAUACACUAAGGGGGAAAGGACCCUUCCACAUCCCUGGAGGCUGAAUUAUCAGUCUACACCAAUCAUGGUAAAAUCAUGCCUCUUCACUAUGGACUAUUCGAGGCGUGGGAUUAUAAUACGAUUCUAAUCAAGACCUGCUUCUAAAAGAGAUGGUUUUCCUGAUAAAAAGAGCUAUUCGGGAAGGGUUCUUUGUUCCAGCAGCCCAUCUUCCUGCCUCAAACUCAGUUAUUUGAGGAUAUUAUGCUUGGAUCGGUGUCAUCCAUCUUGUGACCAUGAGGUAAUAAGCUAGCAUACUACGGAUGGCCAAGCAGAAUAAUGGAAAGAGCUUGGGUCAUUGAUAACAUUGUUUAGUCACUGCUCCAAGCCUGGUACCACCUACCUCCAGGUUUCCUGUUAUUGGAGAUAAUUAAGGAUCUUUAUUGCUUAUGCUAUUUUGAAUAUGGUUUGUCACUUGCAGCAGAAUGCAUCGCAAAUGAGACAGGUGCCAAAUUAUCUAUCAGGAUGUAAAGACAUUUUCAUUUUCAGGCUUGGCAGUAGUCAUUCACAUCCCAAGCUCUCCUUUUCAGGGAUGUACCUGGAGAUUUAGUUCAGUAAAUGGAGGAAGGCAAUCAGGAAAGGAAAUAGAACCCACCCCAAAGGAGCAGGAAGGGAAGUGCUGACGUGAUAGUGGGCAGCCUGGAAGCAACAAACCAAACUGGAAAAAAAAAAAAAAAGAGAGAGAGAGGGAGAGAAAGGGUUGGAAGAAUAGACCAGGGAGGGAGAAAGAGAAGGAGGUUCGCAGAGGAAAAAUAUGUGGUGGACUCAAUGGAUAGAAAGUAUGAUUGCACUUGGGCCACACUAGAUGUAUGAUUAUAUUAUAAAGGGAAAUGAAUACAGAAAUAAAACCGAAAGGCAAGAAGAAGCCUGGGUAUGUGCACCUUGGGGAGGAAAGAUAGGGAGUAAAUAAGAAAAACCUAGUUCAAAUAUGAAAUGAACCAUGUUGUUGCAUGUGAAUAAAUGAGGUCAAUUAAGGAAGGAGAGAACAUGCAACCUUUUUAAGUAGGAAUAUUCGCCUCUGAAAAUUCCAUAAAUCUUGGCUCAGAUCCACCCAAACUUAACUAUGAACACUAUUUAUAGAGUUUUUAAAAAUACAUAGCUGCAAUAUAAUUAUGUAACUGUAAGUAGGUACAAUUAGCCUUUAGACAAAGAAAGGAAGAUUUGGUUAUGGUUGUCUGACAAUAGAUGUGAAAUACUGUUAUUGAUUCCAUAAAAGUAAAGCUGACAUAAAGCAGGAAUUCACAAUGGGAUAUACAACUUCAUAAAGCACUAGUAUCCUUAAUUUACAAUCUGGUAAUAGCUAUCAGAUAUUGGCGGGCAUUGGUGCAAUAAGAAAAAACAUGGUUAAAUAUGUUAUUUAAAGUUAAAAGUAACCAAUACUGUAACUAAGAAUACAAUACCAAACCUCUGGAGAUUUGGUGAAAGAGAAGAGUCAACAAGUAAAGUCAUCGUCCUUUGUAUUAGAAUAGUUCAUGCCUUCCUCUGGUCUCUUACUUGUCUUUCAAACACCACAUCAGAUUGUCACCUCUUCUAGGCAACAUUCCCAGGCACCUGUCACCCUUGCUCCCAAGGCUACAAUAGUUAUAACUCUGCGUCCCCUCCAUGGCAUUCAUUCAUUCAUUCAUUCAUCCAUUCAGCAAUGCCUCUUAGGGAGUUCCCGUCAUGGCUCCGUGG